rnacentral:rRNA from 1 species
GAAUAUUGGACAAUGGGCGAAAGCCUGAUCCAGCAAUGCCGCGUGAGUGAUGAAGGCCUAUGGGUCGUAAAGCUCUGUCGUAUAGGAAUAAAUGCCAGUGGUUAAUACCCGCUGGAGCUGAAGGUACUAUACAAGAAAGCACCGGCUAACUACGUGCCAGCAGCCGCGGUAAUACGUAGGGUGCUAGCGUUGUUCGGAAUUACUGGGCGUAAAGCGUAUGUCGGCGGCUAUUUAAGUCGGAUGUGAAAGCCCUGGGCUCAACCUGGGACGUGCAUCUGAUACUAUUUAGCCUGAGUACAGGAGAGGGUAGUGGAAUUCCAGGUGUAGUGGUGAAAUACGUAGAUAUCUGGAGGAACAUCGGUGGCGAAGGCGGCUGCCUGGCCUUGUACUGACGCUGAGAUACGAAAGCGUGGGGAUCAAACAGG